GGAGAUGUAGCUCAGUGGUAGAGCACUUACCUAGCAUGUAUGAGGACCUGGGUUUCAUCUGCAGCACCA
rnacentral:tRNA from 1 species